rnacentral:rRNA from 2 species
CUUGGUGUUACUGCGAAGGGGGGACGGAGAAGGCUAUGUUGGCCGGGCGACGGUUGUCCCGGUUUAAGCGUGUAGGUGUGUGUUCCAGGUAAAUCCGGUUCACUUUAACACUGAGGCGUGACGACGAGGCACUACGGUGCUGAAGCAACAAAUGCCCUGCUUCCAGGAAAAGCCUCUAAGCAUCAGGUAACAUCAAAUCGUACCCCAAACCGACACAGGUGGUCAGGUAGAGAAUACCAAGGCGCUUGAGAGAACUCGGGUGAAGGAACUAGGCAAAAUGGUGCCGUAACUUCGGGAGAAGGCACGCUGACACGUAGGUGAAGUGAUUUACUCAUGGAGCUGAAGUCAGUCGAAGAUACCAGCUGGCUGCAACUGUUUAUUAAAAACACAGCACUGUGCAAACACGAAAGUGGACGUAUACGGUGUGACGCCUGCCCGGUGCCGGAAGGUUAAUUGAUGGGGUCAGCGCAAGCGAAGCUCCUGAUCGAAGCCCCGGUAAACGGCGGCCGUAACUAUAACGGUCCUAAGGUAGCGAAAUUCCUUGUCGGGUAAGUUCCGACCUGCACGAAUGGCGUAAUGAUGGCCAGGCUGUCUCCACCCGAGACUCAGUGAAAUUGAACUCGCUGUGAAGAUGCAGUGUACCCGCGGCAAGACGGAAAGACCCCGUGAACCUUUACUAUAGCUUGACACUGAACAUUGAGCCUUGAUGUGUAGGAUAGGUGGGAGGCUUUGAAGUGUGGACGCCAGUCUGCAUGGAGCCGACCUUGAAAUACCACCCUUUAAUGUUUGAUGUUCUAACGUGGACCCGUAAUCCGGGUUGCGGACAGUGUCUGGUGGGUAGUUUGACUGGGGCGGUCUCCUCCUAAAGAGUAACGGAGGAGCACGAAGGUUGGCUAAUCCUGGUCGGACAUCAGGAGGUUAGUGCAAUGGCAUAAGCCAGCUUGACUGCGAGCGUGACGGCGCGAGCAGGUGCGAAAGCAGGUCAUAGUGAUCCGGUGGUUCUGAAUGGAAGGGCCAUCGCUCAACGGAUAAAAGGUACUCCGGGGAUAACAGGCUGAUACCGCCCAAGAGUUCAUAUCGACGGCGGUGUUUGGCACCUCGAUGUCGGCUCAUCACAUCCUGGGGCUGAAGUAGGUCCCAAGGGUAUGGCUGUUCGCCAUUUAAAGUGGUACGCGAGCUGGGUUUAGAACGUCGUGAGACAGUUCGGUCCCUAUCUGCCGUGGGCGCUGGAGAACUGAGGGGGGCUGCUCCUAGUACGAGAGGACCGGAGUGGACGCAUCACUGGUGUUCGGGUUGUCAUGCCAAUGGCACUGCCCGGUAGCUAAAUGCGGAAGAGAUAAGUGCUGAAAGCAUCUAAGCACGAAACUUGCCCCGA